rnacentral:misc_RNA from 1 species
GUAUUAAGUUUUUAUGGCAAAGCCAUUAAAAUGACAUUCUAUAACUUUUGUAUGUAUAUGAAAACGUAGUCUCCAAUGAACCAGUCAAUGACCAAUUCAAAACAGACUACAAAAGGUGCACAAGAGAUAAUAAAUUUUGAAUGCGAGCACAUACCCCGAAAGGUCAGCAUCAACACUCUUAAUUCAAUAAUGAUCCUUCCGCAGGUUCACCUACGGAAA